rnacentral:rRNA from 1 species
GGUUAAGCGACUAAGCGUACACGGUGGAUGCCCUGGCAGUCAGAGGCGAUGAAGGACGUGCUAAUCUGCGAUAAGCGUCGGUAAGGUGAUAUGAACCGUUAUAACCGGCGAUUUCCGAAUGGGGAAACCCAGUGUGUUUCGACACACUAUCAUUAACUGAAUCCAUAGGUUAAUGAGGCGAACCGGGGGAACUGAAACAUCUAAGUACCCCGAGGAAAAGAAAUCAACCGAGAUUCCCCCAGUAGCGGCGAGCGAACGGGGAGCAGCCCAGAGCCUGAAUCAGUGUGUGUGUUAGUGGAAGCGUCUGGAAAGGCGCGCGAUACAGGGUGACAGCCCCGUACACAAAAAUGCACAUGCUGUGAGCUCGAUGAGUAGGGCGGGACACGUGGUAUCCUGUCUGAAUAUGGGGGGACCAUCCUCCAAGGCUAAAUACUCCUGACUGACCGAUAGUGAACCAGUACCGUGAGGGAAAGGCGAAAAGAACCCCGGCGAGGGGAGUGAAAAAGAACCUGAAACCGUGUACGUACAAGCAGUGGGAGCACGCUUAGGCGUGUGACUGCGUACCUUUUGUAUAAUGGGUCAGCGACUUAUAUUCUGUAGCAAGGUUAACCGAAUAGGGGAGCCGAAGGGAAACCGAGUCUUAACUGGGCGUUAAGUUGCAGGGUAUAGACCCGAAACCCGGUGAUCUAGCCAUGGGCAGGUUG